UACGGAGGGUGCAAACGUUGCUCGGAAUCAUUGGGCGUAAAGCGCACGUAGGCGGACCGCUAAGUCGGAUGUGAAAGCCCCGGGCUUAACCUGGGAAUGGCAUUUGGGACUGCAAGGCUGGAGUACGGCAGAGGGAGGUGGAAUUCCACGUGUAGCAGUGAAAUGCGUAGAGAUGUGGAGGAACACCGAUGGCGAAGGCAGCCUCCUGGGCUAGUACUGACGCUCAUGCACGAAAGCGUGGGGAGCAAACAGG
rnacentral:rRNA from 1 species